ACUCAGCCAUCUCUCC
rnacentral:tRNA from 4 species